CAGAAUCAAUUUGUCCUUUCAGAAAUCAAAACAUUAAAAAUAUCAGAAAACGUUUAGUUGAACUACUCAACCCUCUAUUAUUUUCCAGAAGCUGAAGGAAAAGAAAGCACUAAAGUUCUAUAAAAUAGUAAAAUUUCUGCAGCCUUUUUUCUUUUUGUAUUCUUUCUUGAUUUUCAGCUAUUACUUCUCUCUAUAAUUU
rnacentral:lncRNA from 1 species